GCAGGGAAGGAUGCAAGGUAACUGUCUCCCUGGCUGUGCCGUCCUUCCAGGGUCUCUAAUCUAUGGAGGAGAAAGGGAGCAGGAAAAAGACGAAGGGCCAUCUUCAGGCUCGGCCUGAGCCACAGGCCUAGGACUCUGGAAAAAGGACCUUUGCUUGGAAUGUCCCAGCGCCCUAAGAACAGCAGCAGCACCGGAUGUAGUCUCUGCUUCCGGUUGUCAUCAGCCAAUGAGAGAAGGUUAAAGAGAACACUAGCGUUUUCCCACAGGAGAAUGCGAGUCGUUGGAGUUGCUGUUGAUGGUGAGAACGGGCAGGGAGACCUCUCUGAACUUACAUACGUUGGAAGCAGUUCCAGAAUACCUAAGCCAAGGAUGAAAAGGAGAAGAAAAGGAACAGGAAGAUGAAACAGAGGAACCAGAACAAGAAGAAUUUGAAAUAGCUAGGCAUGGUGGAUUAUACUUAUUUUAAAAGAACUGGUUUUUUUCACAAGAUGCUGUCUGGGCAUAAGAAAAAGGAAGAUGAGCCUAAAACUAUUUUCUCCCUGCAGACAGCAAAGAUACUUUCAGAGGCACCUGGUGUUAAAGCACCGAGAGAUGUCCUGAAGAGAGGGCUCCUAGUGACAACUUGGGGUGCAGGAAAGGAAGCCACAUGCACCAUCAGUUAGUAUGUGUCUUCAUUACCACAGUGUCCCUUGAGAUUUUCAAUUCCUACAGUUCUUUUAUUUUUUUCUUUUUUGGUCUUCAGCCCAGACAUUCUGGAAUUUUUUCCAACACAUGGAGGUCCAGAUGAGCCUCUCUCAGGAAUAAAAUCACAAAUCGAACAUGGGCAGCCAAUAUGAUAAGUGGAAUCAACAGAAACUUAAAGAUAUGAAUAUCAGUAAGCAAUUUCUUGGUUUCCUUUAAAAAGUACUUUUUAGCCGAGCAUGGUGGCGCAUGCCUGUGAUGCCAGCACUUGGGAGAUGGAAGAAGGAGGAU